rnacentral:rRNA from 1 species
AUUGAACGCUGGCGGCAUGCUUUACACAUGCAAGUCGAACGGCAGCGCGGGCUUCGUCCUGGCGGCGAGUGGCGAACGGGUGAGUAAUGCAUCGGAACGUGCCCAGUAGUGGGGGAUAGCCCGGCGAAAGCCGGAUUAAUACCGCAUACGACCUGAGGGUGAAAGCGGGGGACCGAAAGGCCUCGCGCUAUUGGAGCGGCCGAUGUCGGAUUAGCUAGUUGGUGGGGUAAAGGCUUACCAAGGCGACGAUCCGUAGCUGGUCUGAGAGGACGACCAGCCACACUGGGACUGAGACACGGCCCAGACUCCUACGGGAGGCAGCAGUGGGGAAUUUUGGACAAUGGGGGCAACCCUGAUCCAGCCAUGCCGCGUGAGGGAAGAAGGCCUUCGGGUUGUAAACCGCUUUUGUUCGGGAAGAAAUACUCUGGGCUAAUACCCCGGGGGGAUGACGGUACCGGAAGAAUAAGCACCGGCUAACUACGUG